rnacentral:lncRNA from 1 species
UAAAAGUUUAAUUUUUUUAAAAAAAAUAGAUUUAAAAUUUUGACAUUAUUUUAAAAUUUUGAUGUAAAUUUUUAAUAUUUAAUUUUUAAUUUGAAUUUAAAUUAAUAUAUUAUAAAGAUAAUGUUAGUAUAUGAAUUUGAUUACAUUUUUUAUAUCUGCCUGAACCAAACACCGAUAAUGGGAAUGAUUUAUUCUUAUUCCGAUUCAGGUGUUGAACCAAACAGAAUUAGAUAAUGAGUCAUUUCGAUUCCGAUUCCGAUUCUGACUCUGACUUCGAACUAAACACGUCCUAUAUGGCUAUAUAUACUCCAUGCACCAAUAAUUCAUUUUCUCUCAUCAAUCUCAUGUCACAUCUAUCAAUUUUUUUUUCCUUUAUAAUAAAACUAUAGGCUUGAUCUUUUAAUUUUAAACAUAAAAUAAAAUAC